CGUAGCAAUAAAAAAUAUACUAAAAACCUUGAUUAUUCUGGUUAGUCACAUUGUACUGCUAUUAUUUUGAACAAUACUGUACAUCUUCUGGCACACAAUCACCCUUGCUGUAGUCAACGCCUGGCUCCUCUACAAGCAGCACAGCCUAUGCUCUCAGAAUGCCAAAGAAGGAGAUACUGAACAUGAGAAAGUUUGAAGCACAGCUGGCUUCCUCUCUCAUUACGAGGACAGGAACCAUUUCUGGGAUUACCACUAUAAGUAAAGGUGGACUUCACGCUGAGCACACAGAUUUCAGUGGAGAGUGAGAGAACACUGCAGACAUUGCACUGUUAACAAUCUUGAUGGGCACCUCUUCGGACCUGACGUGCUACCCAGCUACGCAAACGCAGCUAAGUGGAUGUACUCUCUUGUGAUUGGCCAGAGUGAUCACGAGUC